rnacentral:rRNA from 1 species
UACGUAGGGGGCUAGCGUUGUCCGGAAUCAUUGGGCGUAAAGCGCGUGUAGGCGGCCCGGUAAGUCCGCUGUGAAAGUCGGGGGCUCAACCCUCGGAUGCCGGUGGAUACUGCCGGGCUAGAGUCCGGAAGAGGCGAGUGGAACUCCUGGUGUAGCGGUGGAAUGCGCAGAUAUCAGGAAGAACACCGACGGCGAAGGCAGCUCGCUGGGACGGUACUGACGCUGAGGCGCGAAAGCGUGGGGAGCGAACAGG